CCCUCCAACCCCCCCAUACUUUCGCCCUGCCCAGACCCAUCCAGCCUUCUUGCUCCAGCAAAAAGACAUGCCAUGUGCAAAGGAUAGUUCCUGCCAACCCCAUCCCCUCAUCUCACCUCAUCCUAACAACCCCCUUCCCAGGGCAUACCAGUGCAGUGAUUGUUACUCCAACUCCCCUGAAAGCAGACGUGGUUCCCUCAACUGGCGUGGUCAUCGCCUCCUCAAGCCUAUCAAGGGCUCCUGGAUUUCAUAUCCUUCCACAGACUCC